GGUUUUAUAGUCAAUAAUGAUUUUAAAUUGCAAAUUUAAAGGUGAAUUUUUUUCUUAAGCCU
rnacentral:tRNA from 1 species